CCUGGAGCCCCUCACCAGGUCCACUAAGCUGCUCAGUCUCACCCUGUCCGGCGGCGUCCCUGACACCGUGAGCCUGGAGCCCCUCACCAGGUGCCCUAAGCUGUGGGAGCUCACCCUGUCCGUCGGUGUCCCUGACACCGUGCUGGACAGUCUCAGCGGCUGGCCCGGGCUGAAGGUCCUUAAACUGGGGGACCGUCAGCGGCCGGCAGAGACGGCCUUCACAGCAGCAGCGGUCACCAGACUGGUGAAGUCGUGUCGGAAGCUGGACCGUCUGUACCUUCACUGCACGGCAGACACCGGCCGGACCGUGCUGACCGCCCUGAAGGAGGCGGACCUGCAGUACAGUGAUGGCCGGCCCCGUACCAUCGGUCUCAAUGUCCCCGUGGAGCUGUACCGUCAGCUGUUGAGCCAGGAAGGCGGUCGGGUCAUAGUGUGUCAUUGGUGGUGCAAUUGAUGCGCUGCACUACCAGUACCGACCGUGCAUGCAGUGAUGAGCUGACUGCAGAGAGGCCGAGCCAGUCGGCCGGGGCCGCCAGCUGACUGCUGCCGUGUGUGCUGCACCAGCCGGCACUGAGAGCGGCGCCGGUCAGCCGGCACACG